rnacentral:rRNA from 1 species
UUAUAUUCUGUAGCAAGGUUAACCGGAUAGGGGAGCCGCAGGGAAACCGAGUCUUAACCGGGCGUUAAGUUGCAGGGUAUAGACCCGAAACCCGGUGAUCUAGCCAUGGGCAGGUUGAAGGUUGGGUAACACUAACUGGAGGACCGAACCGACUAAUGUUGAAAAAUUAGCGGAUGACCUGUGGCUGGGGGUGAAAGGCCAAUCAAACCGGGAGAUAGCUGGUUCUCCCCGAAAGCUAUUUAGGUAGCGCCUCGUGAACUCAUCUUCGGGGGUAGAGCACUGUUUCGGCUAGGGGGUCAUCCCGACUUACCAACCCGAUGCAAACUGCGAAUACCGGAGAAUGUUAUCACGGGAGACACACGGCGGGUGCUAACGUCCGUCGUGAAGAGGGAAACAACCCAGACCGCCAGCUAAGGUCCCAAAGUCAUGGUUAAGUGGGAAACGAUGUGGGAAGGCCCAGACAGCCAGGAUGUUGGCUUAGAAGCAGCCAUCAUUUAAAGAAAGCGUAAUAGCUCACUGGUCGAGUCGGCCUGCGCGGAAGAUGUAACGGGGCUAAACCAUGCACCGAAGCUGCGGCAGCGACGCUUAUGCGUUGUUGGGUAGGGGAGCGUUCUGUAAGCCGUUGAAGGUGGCCUGUGAGGGUUGCUGGAGGUAUCAGAAGUGCGAAUGCUGACAUAAGUAACGAUAAAGCGGGUGAAAAGCCCGCUCGCCGGAAGACCAAGGGUUCCUGUCCAACGUUAAUCGGGGCAGGGUGAGUCGACCCCUAAGGCGAGGCCGAAAGGCGUAGUCGAUGGGAAACAGGUUAAUAUUCCUGUACUCGGUGUUACUGCGAAGGGGGGACGGAGAAGGCUAUGUUGGCCGGGCGACGGUUGUCCCGGUUUAAGCAUGUAGGCGGGUGUUCCAGGUAAAUCCGGAACGCUGUUAACGCUGAGGUGUGAUGACGAGGCACUACGGUGCUGAAGCAACAAAUGCCCUGCUUCCAGGAAAAGCCUCUAAGCAUCAGGUAACAUCAAAUCGUACCCCAAACCGACACAGGUGGUCAGGUAGAGAAUACCAAGGCGCUUGAGAGAACUCGGGUGAAGGAACUAGGCAAAAUGGUGCCGUAACUUCGGGAGAAGGCACGCUGAUGGUAGGUGAAGUGAUUUACUCAUGGAGCUGAAAUCAGUCGAAGAUACCAGCUGGCUGCAACUGUUUAUUAAAAACACAG